AGAUAGUUGAGAGAAAAGAGAAGGUUUUUUUUAAAAGGAGGUUGCAAAGGAUUUUUUUUUUAAGUUUUUUUAACUUAUAUAAACAUCCCAAAACGACGUCGUUUUGGGCUUUGCUUCUGACACCCAAAAUGGCGUCGUUUCACCCUAGGAACCGCGUGUUGACCCGACCCGCCAAGGAGGAUCCGCGUGUUUUUUUAUUAAUGGGCAAUUUGCGCAUUUGGUCCUUCCGCAUUUUCUAUCUUUUUAAUACAGUUUAUUUUUAUUUUCAAU
rnacentral:lncRNA from 1 species